rnacentral:rRNA from 1 species
GACGAACGCUGGCGGCGUGCUUAACACAUGCAAGUCGAACGGAAAGGCCCUGCUUUUGUGGGGUGCUCGAGUGGCGAACGGGUGAGUAACACGUGAGUAACCUGCCCUUGACUUUGGGAUAACUUCAGGAAACUGGGGCUAAUACCGGAUAGGAGCUCCUGCUGCAUGGUGGGGGUUGGAAAGUUUCGGCGGUUGGGGAUGGACUCGCGGCUUAUCAGCUUGUUGGUGGGGUAGUGGCUUACCAAGGCUUUGACGGGUAGCCGGCCUGAGAGGGUGACCGGCCACAUUGGGACUGAGAUACGGCCCAGACUCCUACGGGAGGCAGCAGUGGGGAAUAUUGCACAAUGGGCGGAAGCCUGAUGCAACAACGCCGCGUGCGGGAUGACGGCCUUCGGGUUGUAAACCGCUUUGGCCUGUGACGAAGCGUGAGUGACGGUAAUGGGUAAAGAAGCACCGGCUAACUACGUG